rnacentral:misc_RNA from 1 species
UUGCCUUCCUGGAAUAGCAGGGACGGCAGAUGUUUUACUAUAAACAGAUUAUGUCAUUGUCAAUGAAGGUAAUUUGUUGGAUGUUGUAGUCAUCUAUAAAACUGGAUGGACAAGUUUGAAGUUUCCCUUUUUCUUCUCUUAAUUUUUUUCCCCUAGAAAAGUUGUUGAGGAUUCAAUUCAGAUGGUCAUAUUGCACUACAGAUAUCUAUAGGACUAUAUCUUUCUUCUGUAGUUUUUGCUCUGACUGCUAGUAACUCACUUGGGACUUGGGAGUAAUGUCACGUCCUGAAGCAUGGUUAUUUGAUGCUAGACUUAAUUUUGGAUGAGAAUCAUAUUUAAUUUCAGGAUCACUGUUUCUAAAAGGAAAUAUAAGUGAACCAUCUAAAAUUGUUAAAUCUUUUCCAUGUGGAAGGAUUUAUUCUGGCUAACAAUUGUAGUACUGUUGUAUAUGGAAAGUUUAUAAUUUUGAAGCCACUAACAUUUGUUAUUUAUUUCAACAGCAGUAUUAAUUAUGUUUUCUUUAAUAAUAAGUCCCAGAAUUAUUAUUCUUUAGCUUUUAUAUCCACAUGUUGUAGCUGAUGGUGAUCAUUUGGGCUGCUUUAUUUUAUUUUAUUUUCUAGUUGGAAGCAAAUGGUUGACCUGUUAUCAUAACCAACAUUUUGAAUCUCAACCCGUCAGUGAAACAAAAGCUAACUAGUUGAACCAGUUUAACUCAGUCAAAAACUGGUCAAAUAUAAUUAAUUGUUUAAAAAUAAAUAAAUAGGUUUUCAAGGUAAAAAGUACAGAUAAAAAGAAAAAUUAUGAAUCAAAACUAAUUUGGACCAACUGAUUAUUGGUUUGAUGCCCAGUCCAACUGGCGAGUCUGAUGUUGUUUUCUAAGUAUUGACCAUAAAUCAUAACUGUCAAAUGUCAAUUGUUUUCAGGUUUUGUGAUUUCACUCCUUGUAGUUGCUGCCAUCCUGUUAAGGCUGUUUAAUGUAACUUUUCUUUUACAAAUUGUAAGGGUUAUCGGGUGAUUUCAGUUGAUAUUCCACGUGUAUGGAAUCGUCAUGAGUGGAUUCAAGCAUUUGAAAAGUUCUUGGAUGUCAUUGAUGUUCAU